AUUGAACGCUGGCGGCAGGCCUAACACAUGCAAGUCGAGCGGCAGCGCGAUAUGUAGCAAUACAUAUUGGCGGCGAGCGGCGGACGGGUGAGGAACACGUAGGAACCUACCCUCGAGUGGGGGAUAACCAAGGGAAACUUUGGCUAAUACCGCAUGAACUCGAGAGAGCAAAGCUGCCGCAAGGUGGCGCUCGAGGAGGGGCCUGCGUCCGAUUAGCUAGUUGGUGAGGUAAGAGCUCACCAAGGCGAUGAUCGGUAACUGGUCUGAGAGGACGACCAGUCACACUGGGACUGAGACACGGCCCAGACUCCUACGGGAGGCAGCAGUGGGGAAUAUUGGACAAUGGGGGCAACCCUGAUCCAGCGAUGCCGCGUGAGUGAAGAAGGCCUUCGGGUCGUAAAGCUCUUUAGGUUGGGAAGAAGGGUGAUGGAGGAAAUGCUAUCACUUUGACGGUACCGACAGAAUAAGCACCGGCAAACUCUGUGCCAGCAGCCGCGGUAAGAC
rnacentral:rRNA from 1 species